rnacentral:rRNA from 1 species
AAGCAUAUAAUUAAGCGGAGGAAAAGAAACUAACCAGGAUUCCCUCAGUAAGGGCGACUGAAGCGGGAAGUGCUCAGGAUGUGAAUCUGCGCCUUGUUGCGCCGAAUUGUGGUCUGACGACUGUGGCAUUACUGGCCGGGCCAAGUCCCUUGGAACAGGGCAGCUGAGAGGGUGAGACUCCCGUUCGCCUGGCCGGGUGAGCCGCUAGUCUACGAGUCGAGUUGUUUGGGAUUGCAGCUCUAAGCGGGUGGUAAAUUCCAUCUAAAGCUAAAUAUUGGUGGGAGACCGAUAGCGUACAAGUACCGUGAGGGAAAGAUGCAAAGAACUUUGAAAAGAGAGUUAAAGAGUACCUGAAAUUGCUGAAAGGGAAGCGAAGGAAACCAGUGUCGGCUCGGUCAUAUUUCCCUGUCCGCUUGCGGAUUGGGCGCUGUGUCCGGCCUCGGUUGUUCUUGGUUGGGUCUGCUGGAAGAGCGCGGAGAGAGUUGAUCUCCGUUGCUAGCAGCGGUCCUGACUGAGGAGGACGAAAUGGUUUUCUUUACCCCGUCUUG